AUUCCAUAAAUAUUCAUCACUAAUUACAAUUUUUUUUAUUAAAAUGGAUUUUUUCUACAAAGCCAAAGCUGUAAAAUUAAAAAGUCAUCUAGACAAAUACCUUGUAGCCGAUGAUGAUCAAGAAAAUAUCCGACAAAGCCGAAACGGCUCAUCAAGAAAAGCCCGGUGGCUUGUUGAACUUGUUGAAGCCGAAAACAGCCACUUUAUACGGCUUAAAAGUGGCUCCGGCAAGUAUCUCACGGCUUCCGACGAGCCGUUUCUUCUUGGCAUGACCGGAAAAAAGGUAAUUCAAACUUUGCCCGAAAAAUUGAAGGACUUGAGAAUCGAAUGGGAAGUAAUAAGGGAUGGAUUUCAAGUAAAAUUAAGGGGUUUUGGAGGAAAAUAUUUACGUGCAAAUGGAGGAAUGCCACCAUGGAGAAAUAAAGUAACACAUGAUAAUCCAUAUAGUGGUAGUACACAAAAUUGGAUUUUGUGGAACGUUGAACCUAUUGAUGUGCCCGAAAAUGAAUCGUUGACGGAAUAUUUAACUAUGGUCUCAAGUUUUUCAUCGAUUUCUGAUGAACUUUUAAGUCUGGAUUUAGGAUCUCCGACUUCUGUACAUUCAAAUUUUUCUUUCUCACCUAGGAGGGCUAAGAUUUCUUUACCAAAAAGAUCAG
rnacentral:misc_RNA from 1 species